rnacentral:rRNA from 1 species
UACGGAGGGGGCUAGCGUUGUUCGGAAUUACUGGGCGUAAAGCGCACGUAGGCGGCUUUGCAAGUUAGAGGUGAAAGCCCGGAGCUCAACUCCGGAACUGCCAUUGAAACUGUUAGACUUGAGGAUGAGAGAGGUGAGUGGAAUUCCCAGUGUAGAGGUGAAAUUCGUAGAUAUUGGGAAGAACACCGGUGGCGAAGGCGGCUCACUGGCUCAUAUCUGACGCUCAGGCGCGACAGCGUGGGGAUCAAACAGG